AUUGAACGCUGGCGGCAUGCUUUACACAUGCAAGUCGAACGGUAACAGGGUGCUUGCACCGCUGACGAGUGGCGAACGGGUGAGUAAUGCGUCGGAACGUGCCGAGUAGUGGGGGAUAACGCAGCGAAAGUUGUGCUAAUACCGCAUACGUACUGAGGUAGAAAGUGGGGGACCUUCGGGCCUCACGCUAUUCGAGCGGCCGACGUCUGAUUAGCUAGUAGGGGAGGUAAGAGCUCACCUAGGCGACGAUCAGUAGCGGGUCUGAGAGGAUGAUCCGCCACGCUGGGACUGAGACGCGGCCCAGACUCCUACGGGAGGCAGCAGUGGGGAAUUUUGGACAAUGGGCGCAAGCCUGAUCCAGCCAUGCCGCGUGUCUGAAGAAGGCCUUCGGGUUGUAAAGGACUUUUGUCAGGGAGGAAAUCCUGGUGGUUAAUAGCUGCUAGGGAUGACAGUACCUGAAGAAUAAGCACCGGCUAACUACGUGCCAGCAGCCGCAGUAACAC
rnacentral:rRNA from 1 species